UUUGGGCAAUUUGGAAUUAUUAUGACUUUGUAAGAGCUUUACAAAGUCAAGAUUAUUUUUGGAUGACUUGGAUUUUCUGAACUAAAAUAGGAUUGUUGUUUUUAGUGAUUUCAAGAAUUUUAUAAUAGAUCUACGGAUGAAAUUUUGUAGAUUAAUGGUCAUAGUUGUGCUUAAUAUGUAUUGUGAUUCUUAACUCAAUC
rnacentral:lncRNA from 1 species